CCUACGGGAGGCAGCAGUGGGGAAUAUUGCACAAUGGGGGGAACCCUGAUGCAGCGACGCCGCGUGAGUGAAGAAGUAUUUCGGUAUGUAAAGCUUUAUCAGCAGGGAAGAAAAUGACGGUACCUGACUAAGAAGCCCCGGCUAACUACGUGCCAGCAGCCGCGGUAAUACGUAGGGGGCAAGCGUUAUCCGGAUUUACUGGGUGUAAAGGGGGCGCAGACGGCUGUGCAAGUCUGGAGUGAAAGGCGGGGGCCCAACCCCCGGACUGCUCUGGAAACUGUAAAGCUGGAGUGCAGGAGAGGUAAGCGGAAUUCCUAGAGUAGCGGUGAAAUGCGUAGAUAUUAGGAGGAACACCAGUGGCGAAGGCGGCUUACUGGACUGCAACUGACGUUGAGGCUCGAAAGCGUGGGGAGCAAACAGGAUUAGAUACCCUAGUAGUC
rnacentral:rRNA from 1 species